CAGCCGCCGCGGUAAAACGGAGGGUGCAAGCGUUAAUCGGAAUUACUGGGCGUAAAGCGCACGCAGGCGGUCUGACAAGUCAGAUGUGAAAUCCCCGGGCUUAACCUGGGAACUGCAUUUGAAACUGUCAGGCUGGAGUCUUGUAGAGGGGGGUGGAAUUCCAGGUGUAGCGGUGAAAUGCGUAGAGAUCUGGAGGAAUACCGGUGGCGAAGGCGGCCCCCUGGACAAAGACUGACGCUCAGGUGCGAAAGCGUGGGGAGCAAACAGGAUUAGAUACCCGUGUAGUCCCUGUCUCUUAUAC
rnacentral:rRNA from 1 species